rnacentral:SRP_RNA from 1 species
UCAUGCCCCGGGUGACGUUUCUCCCCCCAACCCCGCCAGGACCGGAAGGUAGCAACGGUAAAAGGGAGAGCGGGUGCCCGUGGGCGCUUUUU